GGCAACUCGCUGGGGUCCCCUUCCACCCUUUGAAAACUUUGUUCUUUGGUUCUUUGCAAUAAAUGUUGCUGCUGCUCACUCUUCGGGUCUGCACUGGCUUUAUGAGCUGUAACACUCACUGCGAAGGUCUGCAGCUUCACUCCUGGAGCCAGUGAGACCCCGAGCCCACCGGGAGGACCGAAGAACUUCAGAUGCGCCGCGUUAAGAGCUGUAACACUCACCGCGAAGGUCUGCAGCUUCACUCCUGAGCCAGCGAGACCACGAACCCACCAGAAGGAAGAAACUCGGAACACAUCCGAAUAUCAGUAGGAACAAACUCCGGACACGCCGCUUUUAAGAACUGUAACACUCACCUCGAGGGUCCGCGGCUUCAUUCUUGAAGUCAGGGAGACCAAGAACCCCCCAAUUCCGGACACAGGGGGACUUGGCUGCUUCCUGUUUCUAUCAUAGACGCAGCUGGCCUCAGAAUAUUCCACUUAUGGAUGAAAGAAUGAUAGUGUUAUUUUAUGGAAGAAUUUAAGAAGAUGUUGCGGUAUCAUCGACUUUAUUUUUUGUUCAUUCUGAAAAUCACAUCGCCAGAUCCAACACCUUUUUAUCCCAAUCACCAGUACAAGCCACCCGUAUCAGUGUACACUGUGGCUGACCGAUCCAUAGUGAUGCUUUGAGGUGGGUGUCAUUGUGACUGGCUGCUACCUCCCCAUGAGUCUUCUAAAAUAAAACCUGCAAAUUCACAUCUUCCCCAUGCUUCCAGAGAAUGCAUAUUCUUCCUUUGAAAAAAGAAAACCAGGUAGUCGUACAGUGUCCAGAAGGCAAAAGGACAAGUAUGCACUGCCCUACUUACCUACUUUCCACACUGCUGCACAGGAAAAUCUGACAGAGGACAAUAACAAACAUCUCACCAGCUCAUGCGUUCUUUUUUGAUCCUAAUUCCGAGAGACUCACCAAAGACAUGAAGAGAAAACAAACAAUACUUUUCUUGGAAAUAUUGUAAUUGCUGGUACAUUUGUUGUUCUGGCAUAAAGUAGAAAUUGUCAGUUACCAGAACAAUACUCAGUGAACUUAUGAAUAUAUGGUAAAUAUUAAACACAUCCCACUUGGAUGAGAAGAUAUGUGAGUCGAUGAGUAUAGCUAAGUCUAAAGUUAGAUGUGUUCCAUAAACAUAGUGUUUAUGGAGUUGGUGCAUAUUCACUUCUCAAUUGAAGCCACAAAAUCCACAGCACACAAAGACCCUGCUACCAUGUAUUCACUUCAG
rnacentral:lncRNA from 1 species